rnacentral:rRNA from 1 species
ACUCAAAGGAAUUGACGGGGGCCCGCACAAGCGGUGGAGCAUGUGGUUUAAUUCGAUGCAACGCGAAGAACCUUACCUGGACUUGACAUGGGAACGACCGGUCGAGAGAUCGACUUUUCUCUUCGGAGACGUUCCGCACAGGUGCUGCAUGGCUGUCGUCAGCUCGUGUUGUGAGAUGUUCGGUUAAGUCCGGCAACGAGCGCAACCCCUGUCCUUAGUUGCUAACAGGUUAUGCUGAGCACUCUAAGGAGACUGCCCGGGUUAACCGGGAGGAAGGUGGGGACGACGUCAAGUCCUCAUGGCCCUUACGUCCAGGGCUACACACGUGCUACAAUGGUCGGUACAGUGGGAAGCAAUGCCGCAAGGUGGAGCAAAUCCUCAAAGCCGUCCUCAGUUCGGAUUGGAGGCUGCAACUCGCCUCCAUGAAGCUGGAAUCGCUAGUAAUCGUGGAUCAGAAUGCCACGGUGAAUACGUUCCCGGGCCUUGUACACACCGCCCGU